UAAAGCACCCUAAACGCAAGCAGCCUGAUAAAGGCCCGAAGGAAAACUUGACUAUGUCAAGAUCUCAAAUGUGUCUUUUCCUUCAGAGAUAGUAGGAACUGCAGAUGCUGGAGAAUCCGAGACAACAAGGUACAGAGCUGGAUGAACACAGCAGGCUAAGCAGCAUCAUAGGAGCAGAAAGGCUGACGUCUCGGGCCGAGCAGAUGUUUGCUCAAUUUAACCCAGCAAGCCUUUGGUGAAAAGUUAUUAGACAUGUAUAUUCUCCUAAUCAUGAAGGAAGUGGGAUUAUAUUUUCCACGCUUCAAUUCCAUGCAUCAAUCUGCUGACUGAUCCAGAAUCUACAGAAUUUUGGCAGACGACAACCAAUGCAUCCACUAUUUCCAAGACCACCCCCUGGGAUAUAGAUUAUCAUGAUCUAGUGUUGUUAUCAGCUAUCGGUCCUAUUAAUUUCUCCAGCGCUUUUUAAACUGAUACUAAUUUCCUUCAGCUCCUCUUUCCCUCAUGCUUCUCCAAUAUUUUUGAGAAGUUAUUUGUAUGUCCUUGUGUGAGAAAAGAAAUAAAGAAUUUGUUCAGUUCCUCUGCCAUUUCCUUGUUCGUCAUUGUCAAUUCUCCCAUUUCAGACUGUAAAGGACCUAUAUUUGUCGUACCAGUAUUUUCCUUUCUCAUACGUUUAGAAACUCUUACAGUCCACGCAGUCAAACACUAUGCUUAGUCCUUAAGUUCUAUACAUGGGUGACGUUUGGUGGUCAUGUAAGGUUUAUGUUUUCUUUUUGGCUGGUUAGUGGAUACAUUUUUUCUGGUAGCAAACUCAAUGAGUAUAAUUAAAUAAAAUCAUGUAAUCUUAACUAAACUCAAUAAACAUUUCAUGAGAUUGGAA